CAGGCCUAACACAUGCAAGUCGAACGAAGGCUUCGGCCUUAGUGGCGCACGGGUGCGUAACGCGUGGGAAUCUGCCCUUAGGUACGGGAUAACCAUUCGAAAGGAUGGCUAAUACCGUAUGAUGUUUAGCGACCAAAGAAUUAUCGCCUGAGGAUGAGCCCGCGUAGGAUUAGCUAGUUGGUGGGGUAAAGGCCUACCAAGGCGACGAUCCUUAGCUGGUCUGAGAGGAUGAUCAGCCACACUGGGACUGAGACACGGCCCAGACUCCUACGGGAGGCAGCAGUGGGGAAUAUUGGACAAUGGGCGAAAGCCUGAUCCAGCAAUGCCGCGUGAGUGAUGAAGGCCUUAGGGUUGUAAAGCUCUUUUACCCGGGAAGAUAAUGACUGUACCGGGAGAAUAA
rnacentral:rRNA from 1 species